UACGGAGGGUGCAAGCGUUAAUCGGAAUUACUGGGCGUAAAGCGCACGCAGGUGGCUGAGUCAGUCGAUUGUGAAAGCCCUGGGCUUAACCUGGGAAUUGCAUUCGAUACUGGGUAGCUAGAGUUCGGCAGAGGGAAGCGGAAUUUCGGGUGUAGCGGUGAAAUGCGUAGAUAUCGGGAGGAACACCUGUGGCGAAGGCGGCUCACUGGCCCGGUACUGACGCUGAGGUGCGAAAGCGUGGGGAGCAAACAGG
rnacentral:rRNA from 1 species